rnacentral:rRNA from 1 species
UACAGAGGGUGCGAGCGUUGUUCGGAAUUACUGGGCGUAAAGGGCGCGUAGGUGGCCAACUAAGUCAGACGUGAAAUCCCUCGGCUUAACCGGGGAACUGCGUCUGAUACUGGAUGGCUUGAGUUUGGGAGAGGGAUGCGGAAUUCCAGGUGUAGUGGUGAAAUGCGUAGAUAUCUGGAGGAACACCGGUGGCGAAGGCGGCAUCCUGGACCAACACUGACGCUGAGGAGCGAAAGCCAGGGGAGGCAAAACAGGGG